UCUGCACCUGCCAUGGCGGUUGGGCUCAUGUGCUCCUCUGCAUUGGAGUUAGCCAAGGAGCGUGUGCAGAACACUUGCCUCGUAGGCCAGCCGUAAGGAAGGAUGUCCCAGGUGCAGGCGAAGUUUUGUUCAUGUGUUCCUGGAGGAUUUUUCCCGUGGCAAGCGCUUCUCCAUCCUCCAGCAUCUCAGGCCUGUGCACCAGCCUUCCUGUGCCCGUUGAUGGACUGAGAGGAAGAUGAGCCCUUAGGAUGCCUGCCAUGCUCACUGUUAAGGAACAACAGGUGACCCCACUGGACUGACCACCCAAUGAGGCCUUUGAACCUCAGGCCAGGGAGAGGCAGGUCUACAGGUGACAACUGUGAACAGCCCCAGCUGGGGACAACCAGAAAUCCCCAAGGCGACGAGUGGCUGAAAGUGAUGGAGCCCCCAGGCAGAGCCGAAACCCCACUGCAGGUGAGACUCGGCCCUUGGCUGAGUGUGUGCAGCCGCAUCCUCAGGUGUUACUCAACACUCCUCUGAAGCUCUCUCGGGGUCUUGGCCUGAUGAGUUUCCAGGGUGGUCAGGAUGGGAACUGUGGAAUCUCUAGGGCCCGGAUGCUCUGGUUCAGGAGUGUGGAGGGCUCUGUGCCAUGGGGGAGGUGAGAUAUCCCCCCAACUCCCUGCCC
rnacentral:lncRNA from 1 species